rnacentral:rRNA from 1 species
UACAGAGGUCUCAAGCGUUGUUCGGAUUCAUUGGGCGUAAAGGGUGCGUAGGCGGCGCGGUAAGUCGGGUGUGAAAUCUCGGAGCUUAACUCCGGAAACUGCAUUCGAUACUGCCGUGCUUGGAGGACUGGAGAGGAGGACUGGAAUUUACGGUGUAAGCGGGUGAAAUGCGUAGAUAUCGUAAGGAAGACCAGUGGCGAAGGCGG